rnacentral:rRNA from 1 species
UACGUAGGGUGCGAGCGUUAAUCGGAAUUACUGGGCGUAAAGCGUGCGCAGGCGGUUUUGUAAGCCAGGUGUGAAAUCCCCGGGCUCAACCUGGGAAUGGCAUUUGGGACUGCAAGGCUGGAGUGCGGCAGAGGAGACUGGAAUUCCUGGUGUAGCAGUGAAAUGCGUAGAUAUCAGGAGGAAUACCGAUGGCGAAGGCAGGUCUCUGGGCUGACACUGACGCUCAUGCACGAAAGCGUGGGGAGCAAACAAGGGAUUAGA